rnacentral:lncRNA from 1 species
ACCUCUCUAGCCGCGAUUACUUUAUCGUGCAAAUCAUACUGGAUUGAAUCUGUAUUAAUAUUCCAAAAGUGUCCUCGCCAAUAAAUCGAAUUACAGAGGAAAAAAAAAUUAUCUCCCCCAGAAUAAUUCUUGCCCUAGUCGUGGGUUUCCAACAUACUUUUUCCGUCGAAGAACAAGGUAUAAAUUUGAUUUUUUCCCCAAUACUUCUUCCCUCUCCCCAUUAAUGAAGUGCUCUUAUUUUCUGGUUGUUGUAAAGCGUCGUAAUUGAAGAGGUGGGCGCAGUUCAGUCGGUCGUUGAAUAAUUUGGCAAUUUGGGUUUAGGGAUGAGUUGGAGAGAGAAGGAUUGAGAAUAACAGAUGGAGGGGUGUAUUGAAAUAUGGGAAAGAGCAGCACGAGGAAGGUGAGGACAUGUUUAUAGGGUAAAACAUAAUUGCAUAUUUAUUCAUUUGUAUCUGCAUAUUGGUUGAUCGUUUUGAUGCGUGUUCAACUGAUCCAACAACAACAACAACAACAACAACAACAACAACAACAACAACAACAACAACAACAACAACAACAACAACAACAACAACAAGUCCUCGUGUUGCACCCCACCCCACCUUUUUGUAUUUGAAAAUGUUUCUCUCUCUAGAAAAAACGCUCUGCCUUCUCUCUAGAAAGUUGUGUCUUUCCUACGAAGAUUUUGAUCGAUUUUAGCCAUUCAUAUAUUCGUUUUUCAUUUCAUUCAUUCUGGUUAGUUGAUCAUCGUUUCUUAUUGUCAUUUUAGUUCAAUUAUCCAUCGGUUUUGAGGUUUUCGUGCUCUUUGCAUAUAAUUUUCUCAAAAUUUGGUAGUGUUCUUUGUUUUUUUUCGUGUUUGUGUUUGGGUCAGCCGUAUUCUUGUGUUUUUGUGUCGUUUUUUGGUUGUUUCUCCUUCAUUUCAUUCGGUUUUAGGGCUGCUUUCAUUCCUUGUAAUCUCAGCCUCGUUUUUGCUUCCAUUCUUGGGCGUUUUUUGCUCGUUCUGCUUCUUUAAUUUCAGUUUUAGUGGAGGUUUGUUUCGUCCUCAUUUUGUUUAGUGUCUUGUCUUCGGUUUUUCGUGUCUCCGUCAUAUCUACGCCUUCUCUCAGUGGAGAUCUUCGAGUGGGUAGCUGCUGCUUGUGCCCGCAUGAAUCUAGACUCUCAUCUUGUCUUGGUUCCUCCUUUAAUUAGUGCAGCAAAUCAACAUCAUUCUAAAUCAGGACCUUCCUUUUCGGACGUGGUAAUUAUGGAAGAUUUCACCAAUCAAUCUUCCUUGAUUGUGGAAGCUGAAUCUUCUACACAAGGCAAGGUCGCCACAAUUCAAAUUUCACCAACCACUUUUCCCGCCCGUUCCACCUCACCCCUUGACUUGGCUAGAACUCCUCACCUCAGCCAACCACAAUUCGCCAAGUUUACACCACUUGCCAAAUCACCAUCCUAUGAGGAUUUUUCUAGCCUCAAACUACCGGUCCCUAAGCCCAUCUCAGCCCCUAACUCUCCUAAGAAAGGCCUAUCUUCCACUCUAAAACCGGCUCACGAUAAUAUUACUCAAAUUCGAGCCCAAAACCCUAAAACGGACCACCUAAACCCCAAUCUUGUGGCCCAAGCUGGUUUUAUGUCCAAUUCAAACACUAAAAAUGAUAUUUCUAUCCCUAUUUCUAAAUUGGACAAUCAUAAUCCGAAUUCCCAAUUCCAAACCCAAAAUCCCCAAUUAAAAAACCCCAAUCCCGAAAUUGAAACCCCUAAUCCCGAAAUUCAAAACCCAAAAUUCCAAUUCCCAACCAAAUCCUUUGCUGCUGCUGUACACGGUGAUCUCGGACCUCCAAUUGCUUCUUCUAAGGUUGAUCGUCGUCGUCACUUGCUCCACCGAGAAGAUAUCGCUCCAAUUGGGACAAUUAAAGUGAUAGAUGGCAAGAAUGUGCUCUAUUUCUCGAAAGAGGAGGUUGAUAAGAUGCUUGAGCCGUUAAAGUACACCUUGAUUGGUAAGUUUUCUCAUGGGAUACCUCACUACAAAGUUAUGGAGAAGUUUAUUUACGAUUUAAAGCCCCGCGGUUCCUUUGAGUUGCAUAAAUUGAAUUAUCGGCAUGUGUUGAUUCAAUUCUCGGUAUUAGAUGAUUAUUCUUUGCUUUUGAGAAGAUCGAUAUGCUAUAUUGAUGGGCUGCCCAUGCGUGUUUUUAAAUAUACUCCGGGCUUUAAUUUGAAAAACGAAACUUCUAUAGCGCCGGUCUGGGUUAAUGUGCCGGGAGUUCCUCCUUAUAUGUACAACCGGGAAGCUAUAUUCUUCCUUGCUUCUUCUAUUGGAAAUCCACUUGAGUUUGAUGAUUUUACAGCCGAUCGAAAGAAGCUAUCUGUUGCUCGAUUUUGUGUCGAAAUUGAUCUCUUGAAACCGAGGGUUGAACAAAUUCCGGUGAUGACUGGCUAUGAUGAUAUUGAGAUGAUUUCCUUGCCGGUAAACUACGAGAACGUCCCAAAAUUCUGCACGUUUUGUUCUCACCUGGGUCACUCGGUUGAAAAUUGUUAUAUGAAUGGAAAUGCUAAAAAACCGGAUUUUCCACCACCGCCACAACGGAUUCCCAAACCCACAGCCCCACCAAAGGAAAAACAAGUUUGGCGACGAGUUGAAAAGAGGAAAAAUGUUGUUGUUGAAAACAUGGAUAUUCCUAAAACAUCGGGGACAAAAUCAACUGAAAAUCCUAGUUUUUCUUAAGCUAUUGUGCGGACUACUGCCGAUAAUAUUAGUGAAGGAGAUUUUUGAGCAUUACAACCCCUUUGAAUUGUUGGAGAGUGGGGUUCAAGAGGAUAUAGAGGCUUCUCAUAUUCAACCGGAUGUUGCUUCCAAACAUGUUCCAAAAUCUUCGAAAAAGGGCCGAAAAAAUACUUCUAACACCAAACAACCGAUGAGUCCAGACCCUAUAGAUACUAUUGCCGAUGAUCAAGCAGCUGAUUUAGAUGAUAUGGAGGCCUUAUCCAUGUCCAAAAAAAAUCAGCAUGUGUCUCCCUCCAAAAAGAACAGAAAUCAAGCUUCUAGCUCCCGAACCGCAAAGGGGGCAGCCCUCUCAACCCCCUCUCUAUCACCUUCAGCCACUUCGGUGGCCAAGGAUGUUCCCCUUAAUCAUGGGGUACACGGACGAGAGGGGUCAGGACUUUCGGCGGGUACGGAUCCGAUUACACCUACGUCGGCUGCCUUAUUUUGCGAACACUAUGUGACCAAGGUCCGGCCCACGGCCGAUCAAAAUUUGGCCGGCACGCCUCCUUUCAAUCACCUUGCCAUGAUCCCUUAUGACCCCGUGAGCCCAGCCACGAGCAUACGCCCAGCUGAUCACGCUACUCCGGGCUCUAUCACUGAUGAACCUUCGGCCUCGUGGCGAUCGAGCCUAAUUGAUGCUGAGCAUUGGCGUUUGCAAAAUGCCGAACGUUGGCAUGCGGAGGAGGCCCACCUUAUUGGUAACUCAUUCUUUGUCACAUCUCGGAAAUCUUCAGAUGGGUCGCAUUCCCCCUCUUCUUGAUGUCGGGUAAAUUCUUGGUUUGGAAUGCAAGGGGGGUAAAAAAUAAGGCGACCCAAUCCCACUUGCGCUUUAUUUGUCGCCAACACAGAGUUAAUUUAUUGGUUAUUUCUGAACCUAUGACUGAGUUUGUGCAUGAUUACUAUUGCCGUCGCUUGGGUUUCGUUGCUGGUUUGUCUAAUUGUGCGGGGAAGAUCUGGAUUUUUUGGGAUCACAAUUUUCGAGUCGAGUUGCUUAGGGAUGAGGUACAAUUAUUGCAUGUCAGAUGCAUAUCUGGUUUAUUUGGUGCUCCUUUUGUAUUUACUGCGGUCUAUGCUAGAUGCUCUCGUUCCGAGCGCCGUGUUUUGUGGAAUUCGUUCCGCGACAUUUUUGAGACGAUUGGUGACACUCCUUGGAUUUCUGGGGGUGACUUCAACUCAAUCUUACUUGAGUCAGAACGGAAUAGAUCGGUUUCGGAUAGAAGACUAGAUAUGGCUGAGUUUGGUGCUAUGGUUUCGGAUUGUGAACUUUCGGAUGCCGGGUUCUCUGGGGCUAGUUCUUGCUAUACUUGGGAGAGCCCUUCAGGUCUUUUGGAGCGUUUGGACAGGAUUCUAUAUAACUCUGCUUGGCUAGAUUUACUGCCUAUUACGCAGGUUACCCACCUCUCACGGACCUGGUCGGAUCAUGCUCCUCUUUUGGUUUCAUCGGCUGCUUCUUCGUCUAGGCCUCCUGCUUCAUUCAGGUUUCAGUAUAUGUGGAUCCGCCACGCUACGUUUCGUCAGAUUGUGGAACAGGUUUGGGAUUUUCCGUGUGCUCAGACGGGGAUGCAUCGAUUACAUACGAAGUUGAGACGAUUGAAACAGAAGCUUCAGUGGUGGAAUUGGAAUGUUUUCGGGGACGUGUUCAAGAAUAAAGAGAGGGCCGAGGCAGCUGUUCUAGAGGCCGAGCACAUAUAUGACUUGGAUCGAUCCCCCGAGAAUCGUGCAAAUUUGAAAAAGGCCACUGCUGAACUUACUCUCAUGCUCAAUAUUGAGGAGGACUUUUUGAAGCAGAAGGCAGCUUGUAGAUGGGCGACUGAUGGAGAGAGAAACUCUAAGUUUUUCCACUCGUUAGUCAAGAAAAAGCGAUGUGUCAAUCGAAUCCACUCUAUCUCUCAUGGUGAUUUGGUUCUCACAUCAGCUCAGGAGAUCAAGGAUUCGGGCGUUGAUUUCUUUAGCAAGCUUCUUACCGAUGAUAUGCCUAGUUUGCUUCCGGUUGAUGAGUCCCUAUUUUCCGCUCCUCAAAGGGACUUUUCUUCAGUCUCUACUCGUCCGUCAGUUGAGGAGAUCAAAGAUGCGGUGUUUGGGAUUUGUCGAGAUAGUGCUUCGGGUCCUGAUGGGUAUUCUUCGCUAUUUUAUCAGCAUUGUUGGGACUUGAUUCAGUGUGAUGUUUGUGAAGCGGUUUGGGAUUUCUUCGAGGGUGGAUCUAUGCCUGCGAGCUUCACCGCUACCACCUUGGUUCUUAUUCCAAAGGUGGACUUUCCGACGGCUUGGACAGAUUUCCGCCCGAUUAGCUUGUGCAACGUGACCAAUAAAAUUAUCACCAAGGUACUUACGAACAGACUGGCACCUCACUUGCCCCACAUUAUUUCUCCUUCUCAUAGUGGGUUUGUUCAGGGUCGCCUCAUUAGUGAUAAUAUUUUAUUAGCACAAGAGAUGGUCCACUCGAUAUCAGUUCGUUGUCGAAAUCCGAAUCUUAUUUUGAAGCUGGAUAUGGCAAAGGCUUAUGAUAGGGUUCAGUGGCGGUUCUUAUUUCGUGUACUCGAGCUGAUGGGUUUCUCGGCGAACUUGGUUGAUAUUAUUCGGCGAUGUGUUUCGUCGUGCCAGUUCUCUUUACUAAUCAACGGGGAGCUGACGGGGUAUUUCACUUCGUCUCGUGGUCUAAGGCAGGGAGAUCCGCUCUCGCUGACUCUUUUUGUACUUGCGGCUGAGUAUUUUUCGAGAGGUCUCGAUGCACUAUACAGCCGUUGCCCAAGCAUGUUUUAUUCUACAAGGGGAGGCAUUCAUAUAUCCCAUUUGGCCUAUGCGGAUGAUGUGAUGAUAUUUACCUCGUGCCAUAAUUUUGGACUGAAGAAGCUGCGGGAUUUUCUCGAUCAUUACUGUCGGACUUCGGGUCAGUUGAUUAGUGUGCACAAGAGCACUUUCACAGUUGAUAGGGCAUGUUCUGAUGGUCAUCUUCGCACUAUUUAUCGGAUUCUCAGUUAUCCGAGAAAGGAUCUUCCUAUCAUUUAUCUUGGAGCACCACUAUACAAAGGGAGGGACCGGGGCAGUUUGUUUCACACUUUGCUUGAUCGCAUGCAAGCCAGGAUUUCGGGAUAGGCUCGGACCGCUUUGGCUUUCGGGGGCCGUCUUGCCUUGAUCCGGAGUACGCUUUCGACUAUGGCUUUGCAUCUUGUUCAGGUUAUUCAACCUCCGCAGUACAUUAUUCAGCAGAUUGAGCAGUGCAUGGCCCGAUUUCUCUGGGGAUCUUAUGGUAAUCAGCGCCGGCCUCAUUGGGUUGCUUGGGAGACGAUUUGUCGGCCAGUUGGUGAGGGUGGCUUGGGGUUGAGGCGUUUGACGGAUGUGAUUGACGCCUUCACUUACAAGCUCUGGUUCCGAUUCCGUGCCCAGGAUUCUCUUUGGGCCCGUUUUCUCCGAAACAAGUAUUGUCAGAAUCGGUUCCCAGGUUCAUCCGUUGUGUCUUCACUCUAUAGCACGGUGUGGAAGCGCAUGUGCCGUGUCCGAGAGCGUGUUCAAGCUCAAAUAUUUUGGCGGAUUGGUCCCGGUCAUGUUUAUUUCUGGCACGACCACUGGUUUGGCGAUGGUCCCCUUUCGGGCAUUAUUGAUGGUGGUCGGCUAACGUCAGUUCGUGUGGAGUAUUAUUUGGUUAACGGUCAGUGGGAUCGAAACAAGCUAGCUGAGGAUAUUCCUUUUGAGUGGAUCGAUAGGAUUUGCUCGGUCCCAAUCUCUGGUGCUUCGGGUGAUUUGCCCAUUUGGAGAGCUUCUUCGGAUGGCAAGUUUUCCUUGACCUCGGCUUGGGCCUUGAUACGACAGCAGCAUACCCCUACCCCUAUUCUUCGUAUAUUUUGGGGAUCUUGUCUUACUCCUACAAUUUCUAUCUUUCUUUGGCGUCUCCUUCUUCAGCGUCUUCCAGUGGAUACCAAACUUCAGUCUCGAGGCACCUCUCUUGCCUCGAGGUGCUAUUGUUGUCCAGAUCCAUCUAUUCCUGUGUCGAGUCUUGUAUCUCAAUCUGUCGAGUCUCCUUCUGUUGAGUCGAUUGAUCAUAUCUUCGUGGAGAGCCCGACGGCUAAGAGGGUAUUGCAUCAUUUUUUCUAUAUUUUUGGCUAUACACCUGCACACACUACGCACAUACCCCAGAUUUUACUUUAUUGGCAGCACUUCACUUCGCACACACUCACACACCACACACACAUCACGACCAUUGUGCCUUGCUUGAUCUUGAGGUACUUAUGGAUUGCAAGAAAUGACAGCAAGCACAAGGAUAUCACGGUUCGCGCUUCUUCCAUCAUUUACAGGGUCAUCCAGCACAUCAGGAUUCUUCACCAAACCAACUUACUUUCGGCGGACAGCUGGACUGGCAUUCCCCACGUGGCUGAGUCUCU